GUGACCGGUGACUGGCUGCUGCAGCCAAUGAUGCGAUUCACAUACGUAUUUACCAUAGACUGUAUAUAAUGGUAUUUACGCAGCUAAUCAACGUCAGGUGUCCUUAUGUGCAGCCACCGUUGUUCUCAUACAUAUGAAUGAGUAGAUAGGACACGCCCCUUUGAGCUGCAUGCUACAGCGAGGCUAAGCUAGUGGGGGCAAAGUUUCAAUGCAUUCCGUUGAUGUAGACGGCGUGAAAACGGAAACAACAAGUAUGCCGGCUCACUGUGCUGCAUACAAUUACACACUGCGUCGUACGAUUGAGACAAGGAAACUUGGAAUGACUUCUCAUAGGUUUCCCAGAGACUAUGGAUUGAGGAGGAAUUGGAAGUUUGUCGGCUUAGACCUGGUGUCAUUCCAUCAGUGUUUAACUUCCCGGCUCAUCUUGGAAGAGUACGUGCCAGAAAGACCACGACCAAGCAGCCUUGAGAUCUUAGACAGCGUCUCCCUGAGACCAAAGAACUACAGACUCUUCACAACCUGCUCAAACUCUUCGUACAGGACCUCACCACACGGAUCAAGAAGGUUUCCUUCUCCUCAUUUCUACUCUGAAGCUCACCUUCUCCUGCUCAAACUGCUGACAAAUGUUUCUGCUGCUCUAAAGUCUGGUCUCCAGAACGUCAUAAAAACUCUCAAAGUCUCUUCUGCUGCAGGUUGCUUUGUAGAACUGUUCCAGAAAACCUCACUAAACCACAUGGAGGAGC
ensembl:lncRNA